rnacentral:misc_RNA from 1 species
GAUGAAGAACGUAGCGAAAUGCGAUACUUGGUGUGAAUUGCAGAAUCCCGUGAACCAUCGAGUCUUUGAACGCAAGUUGCGCCUCAAGCCAUUAGGUUGAGGGCACGUCUGCCUGGGCGUCACAUAUCGUUGCCUGAUGCCAGUUUCCUCGUGAUGGGUGACUGUGCAGGGCGAAUGAUGGCUUCCCGUGAGCAUUGUUGCCUUAUGGUUGGUUGAAAAUUGAGUCCUUGGUAGGGAGCGCCGUGAUAGAUGGUGGUUGAGUGACGAACGAGACCCAAUCAUGUGAGACCCCUACCGAAUUUGGCCUUCAUGACCCACAUGCGUCUUUGGAACGCUCAUGACGAGACCUCAGGUCAGGCGGGGCUACCCGCUGAGUUUAAGCAUAUCAAUAAGCGGAGGA